CACCCCUGGAUCAAGGUGAGAGGGACAGGCGGGGGGGUGGGUGCCAGGCUGCCAGAAUCCAGGUGGGGGCACGGUGAUGGUGCCGUGUCCUCGCCCCCGCAGCCCCUGAGCAGGAAGCAGGUGCUGAACCGGAGCCGCUCCUCCAUCAACAUGAGAAACUUCCGCAAGUUCAACGCUCGGAGGAAGUGGAAGCUCUCCUACAACAUGGUGUCCGCCUGCCACCGGCUGUGCCGCACGCGGCUGCUCUGCGGCCUGAGGAAGGAGGAUGAGGAGCUGCGCUGCUGCGAGAGCGACCAGGAGGAGGAGAGCAGCCCCCCCAUCGCGCUGCUGCGCCGGAGGAGAAGCAGCUCCUGAAGGAAGACAGGGACCCUCCCUGAGAGGAGCCUUGGGGGUGCCCUCAUCUCCCCAGCCCGAGGCAGGAGCACUGUC